rnacentral:lncRNA from 1 species
AAUUCCAUUCAAUAUCAGAAAUAACAAACUUCACUCCGAUUAAUCUCGAUUCACACAAUUUUUGUAAUCACUGACUUCUUCUACCGAAACACAUACAACUUUCAAUAAACAACAAUCAUAAUCUUUCAUCUAUUAUCAAUUUUCUAAUAACUUAAUAUAUAAUUCAAUCAUACAAUACUCCAAUUACAUAAUCAAUAACUCAUAAAUCAAUCUCUGAUUUAUUCGGCAGAUUCACUUCUUAGUAUUCAGAAACAAUCCAUUACUCUUCAACAACAAAGAAACAAAGAUAUAGUACCAAGCUUAUCCUAGCUCAUGACUAUCACAAUCUGGCCCUUAUAAUAUCUUCUUCAACUUACUUAUGCUUUAUUUCUAAAAUUUCAGAUUUUAACCAUCAUUCCCUACUUAAUUGUUCUUUGUAACUAAUUCAAUUACCUAUCCUACUGAAUUGACUAUCUUAGAUAUGAUUAAUCUACUUUAUUAAUAUCUUACAAAAACAAAUUUUUAUCCCUUUUAUAUAGCCCCACUCCUAAUUGUGCAGUGUUCUUACAAAUAUAGAUUUGAUACAUAUUU